GUGUUUUGAUCUUUAUUCACAGCCUAAUAUCAUCACUGUGGGUUUUAACUGCAGCAAAUGCUGCUUUCAGUGUUUGGGUAAGAACAAUCACUGUGCACACAUAAGAAGCUUGUUGCAAAACAGGAGGGCUUUGCAACAAAAUUGAUGCACACAAUAGGCACUCGGUACUUAUAUAUUUCUGGCAACUAAAGACUGGCCUGUGUACAGAACCCAUUUGAGUUUUAAAAUACCUAAGCGUUUAUAGGCUUAUUUUAAACCCGGUUCUAUUACAUUAUGACAGUGGUAUACUGAGGGGCCAGGAGCAUAAUGUAGAUCUUUUUAAAACUUUCAGGUGCCUCUCUUCAAGGGCACUCCAAGAUGUAAUAAUAAUGUGGUCCAUGUUCAUGCCACUCAGAUGGACAUCCUCUCUUGCCAAAUUUCGACUCUCGCCUGUGCAUUUAUAGAAUUCCACUUGGGAGGUUGGACAAACUCCUCGCAAGUUGAGAAACUGCUCCGAAAGCUGGCACUUGGGAGAUGUUCCCUCUCCUCCAUCCUUACUGUCAGGACGCGAACACACGCUCCGUAUUUCAUACUGGACUAUUACUUCACACCUCCCCGCUCAGUCUACUUGCCUCUUCUCUCGCCUCCGAAUUACUACCAGAGUCCUCUAACACCCUGAUCAAAACCACCUUUUCCACUGCUCAGACUCAUUACAAUAAACAGACCCUUCAGGACAGAGGCUAAGGCCAGUUACGAGCUGCUUUCCUUUUUUGCCUCCACUUUGAGCCUCACCUGUUCCUCCUCCACCACUACCCUUUAGACUUGUGCGCCUUAAGGCCAAGGCUUCAGGCUUCCCCAGAACCUCAUCUCUGUCCGCCUCCUGGUCCAGCGUAUGGCUGCGUCUUUCUGAGAAGCCCUACCGACGCUCCUCAUCAAGCAGCGGAGAACAGCUUCCUCCACCUGCACACCUCUGUCCAAGCACCUGCACUGCAUUUUAAUUGUGUUUGCAUGACUAUCUCCCCAGCACGGGUCUUUUCAUCUUUGUGUUUUUAUGCCUGGCAUAUUGUAGGACCACAGGAAAUACUUGCUGAAUGAACGAACUGACACUACAUGCAAAACUGUCACAGAAAACCGCAUUAAACCCUGCAGUGUGCAAGGCUAAUGUGCAUCCACAUUCUGCAUCCAUUUUCCCUUGCGGUCUCUGGUCAGAGGGCUAGCAAAGCCACUUAAAGAUGCGCUGACCAAAUGCUGUGCCAUUUAAGCACAAAUGGAAGGAUGGUGCUGAGCACAUGAGCAGAGCCACGGCAGCCUGAACUCCAGACCAGGGGAGAGGCAGCGUCGUGGUCCUGGGCCUGGUUCUACCCAGACAUGGGCCUCUCAGUUACCAUGAGCUUUGCUUCCUGCUUUCCCACAUCCCAAUUUAUAGAUGCAGUCUCAGGCUGGGAGAAUGUCGGAGGCACAGAUGAGGUUCCAGGAGCAUCACCAGAGCUGGGGCAUCUUCUGGAUCGCCAGACUGGCUGUGGAGAGAACAACAGUGUUCUUGUAUUAGCUUGUAUUGGACAAGAGUGCUCUUCCUCUCCUCCCAGCUCAGCAUCGACUACCCAGAAUCCACAUAUUACUUUCAAUGGCUCCAAUGCAGCACCCGAGUCUCUGUCCUCCCUCAUGUGCUUCGGGAGGUCCUUCUGCACAUAAAUCCUCCCAAGUGGCGAGGAGGCAAGCACACAGUGUUCUGAUGGUAGGUGAAGCACACUUUCCUUUUGACAGAGACAGCUCUUUCCAUCGACUAAGGUGUGUGUUACCUACUUCAGAUCAUGACUUCAGGUCAGUGUGAGGCUCAGCCAACCAAUUCAAAGGAAAAAGAACCAAAAAUCUCCCCCAUGUGUUAGAGUGUUUUAUCGGUACAGAAAUAAAAGUCAUCUCUGCUUAUUCAAACCUUGGGCUGUCUUCACCCAUGGUUAGCAUAACAUACGUUGUUUAUCACACCUGUUUAAACUUCCAGGGGAGGAGAUGAAAUAAUUUGUAUACAUCCAAGUUAAUUUGUUUAUAAGGUUACCAUGCUGAAGAUCUCAACAGCGUGAUGUAAACAAAAUGUGAGUAAAACCAGUUUAGUUCACUCAUGUGCCUUUGGAGGGGAGAUAGAAUAUUCCCACGGAAACAAAAAUGAUGCCUCAGGCUGCAGUCAGAGGUGUAGGUAGCAUCCUCUUGUAAACUGUUCUACUGAUCUCUUCCCCUUUUGUUUCUGGGGACCUUUCCUCAUUCCCCAGCCCCACUCUGGAGGGCCAACUACUCGUUAGUAAGGCCACUUCUAGAAGGUGGGCCUGCUGCCUCAACCUGUCUCAAACCAACCUUCCAACCCAGGCAAAGUCACCCAAAUCCAUGCUCUUCUUCUUCUACCAAUGCGCCACCAUUUGAGGAGCCUUAAGAGUCUCCGGCAGUCAUGAACAAUGCAGAAAAAACCCUGGCUACCUAGAAUCCUGUGCUUUUCUAGAAAGAGUAAUUCUCAGGCAAGUGGAUGCUAACCUUUCAGUUGCCAUACUUAAAAAAAAAAAAAAAA